AACAAACACAAGUUGACUGUAGCCUACCAAAAAGGGUAGCCAAAGCAGCAGCAGCGUCACACUCACGGAUGCUUCUCCUCCGUAGCCUUUCCACUUUCCCUUCAAUAUCAAAAACUUUGGAGAUCAAUCCCAUUCUCGACUAUGUAUUCGCAACAACCCACCACUACUUCACCGCCGAUGCCUCCGCCACCACCUCUGCCACCGCAGCAGAGGAGAAAAGGUGCCGGAAUUAGGGCAUGGCUCGUCGUCUCUGUCUCUGGAAACUCACAUCUCGAAGAGGUAGGGAAACAUUUGAUUAUGCGCAGAACUGGGCUUCCAGCUCGUGAUCUAAGGAUUCUUGAUCCUGGGCUUUCGUAUCCCUCCACGAUUCUGGGUCGAGAGAGGGCGAUUGUUGUGAAUCUUGAACAUAUUAAGGCGAUUAUAACUGCUACUGAGGUUUGGGUUCCUAAUUCCAAGGAUCCUUGGGUUGCACCUUUUGUCCGUGAUCUUGAAUCCCGCGUCUCAAACCUGAAUGAGGAGACGCGAAGGGCGACAGAGGAAUCGGGAUCGCCGGAGUUUCCGAGAUCCACCUCUGAGAGCCCCGAAGGAGAGAUGCUUCAAACGAAUGGUACUGGGAGUCCCAUGGCUUGUGGGGAUAUGCAAAUUAAAGGUGCACCUAAGGCGUUGCCUUUUGAGUUCCAGGUUAUUGAAGUUUGCUUUGAGUCUGUUUGCAGGAGCCUUGAAGCUGAGACCUCCACAUUGGAGCAAGAGGCAUAUCCAGCUUUAGAUGAAUUGACCUCUAAAACCAGCACACAUAAUCUCCAACGAGCUAGACAUAUAAAGAGUCGUCUAGUUGCAUUAUUUGGGCGUGUUCAGAAGGUGAGAGAUGAAAUUGAAAAUUUAUUGGAUGAUGACAUGGACAUGGCUGAGAUGUAUUUGACAGAUAAACUCUCUGAUUUUCAAUGUCAAGAAGACGAGUUAAAAGAUGAAAUAGAGAAAGAUAAUGAUUCAUACAAGUUAGACUAUGAAAGCGAUGAAGACUCACAAGAUAACAAAAGUAGCAGUGAAAAAGUUACUGGUUUUAAGCCAAAUGUUGAAGAGUUGGAAAUGUUGCUAGAAGCAUAUUUUGCUCAGAUAGGGAGAACCUUGAACAAGCUGUCAGCUGCAACCAAAUCCUUCUUGGUACUAAUGGGCUGGGUCCGGCAUGCCUACCCCUGCUCGCUAAUACUAGGGCAGUAUCAGGCUGAGUAUGUUGUCCAAUACACCUUGGACCUGCCCUAACCCGCCAGAUCGCCAAUUCUAUUUCUUGUCUAGAGAAGUUAGAGAUAAUUCUUGUAGAAGGAAGGGUCUGCCAGUGAACAGCAAUCAUGUUGCCGUCUCUCAUCAGACGCACUCUCAACAAAUGCACAAACACCCUUCUGUUGAGCAAGUAUUGGUUACUUUUAUUUAUUGAGGGAGUAUGUCGAUGACACUGAGGAUUAUAUCAACAUCAUGCUGGAUGACAAACAGAAUCAGUUGCUACAGAUGGGAGUUCUGUUGAGUACAGCAACUUUGUUAUUAAAUGCAAGCAUAGUUGUUGUUGGUU